UACGGGAGGCAGCAGUGGGGAAUAUUGCACAAUGGGCGCAAGCCUGAUGCAGCCAUGCCGCGUGUAUGAAAAAGGCCUUCGGGUUGUAAAGUACUUUCAGUCGUGAGGAAGGUGUUAAGGUUAAUAACCUUAGCAAUUGACGUUAGCGACAGAAGAAGCACCGGCUAACUCCGUGCCAGCAGCCGCGGUAAUACGGAGGGUGCGAGCGUUAAUCGGAAUUACUGGGCGUAAAGGGCACGCAGGCGGUUAAUUAAGUUGGAUGUGAAAUCCCCGGGCUUAACCUGGGAAUGGCAUUCAAGACUGGUUAGCUAGAGUCUUGUAGAGAGGGGUAGAAUUCCAUGUGUAGCGGUGAAAUGCGUAGAGAUGUGGAGGAAUACCGGUGGCGAAGGCGGCCCCUGGGACAAAGGACUGACGCUCAUGUGCGAAAGCGUGGGGAGCAAAC
rnacentral:rRNA from 1 species